GAUGAACGCUGGCGGCGUGCCUAAUACAUGCAAGUCGAGCGAACGGACGAGGAGCUUGCUUCUCUGAUGUUAGCGGCGGACGGGUGAGUAACACGUGGAUAACCUACCUAUAAGACUGGGAUAACUUCGGGAAACCGGAGCUAAUACCGGAUAAUAUUUUGAACCGCAUGGUUCAAAAGUGAAAGACGGUCUUGCUGUCACUUAUAGAUGGAUCCGCGCUGCAUUAGCUAGUUGGUAAGGUAACGGCUUACCAAGGCAACGAUGCAUAGCCGACCUGAGAGGGUGAUCGGCCACACUGGAACUGAGACACGGUCCAGACUCCUACGGGAGGCAGCAGUAGGGAAUCUUCCGCAAUGGGCGAAAGCCUGACGGAGCAACGCCGCGUGAGUGAUGAAGGUCUUCGGAUCGUAAAACUCUGUUAUUAGGGAAGAACAUAUGUGUAAGUAACUGUGCACAUCUUGACGGUACCGAAUCAGAAAGCCACGGCUAACUACGUG
rnacentral:rRNA from 1 species